rnacentral:rRNA from 1 species
GGUAUCCUGUCUGAAUAUGGGGGGACCAUCCUCCAAGGCUAAAUACUCCUGACUGACCGAUAGUGAACCAGUACCGUGAGGGAAAGGCGAAAAGAACCCCGGCGAGGGGAGUGAAAAAGAACCUGAAACCGUGUACGUACAAGCAGUGGGAGCACAGGUUUACCUGUGUGACUGCGUACCUUUUGUAUAAUGGGUCAGCGACUUAUAUUCUGUAGCAAGGUUAACCGUAUAGGGGAGCCGGAGGGAAACCGAGUCUUAACCGGGCGUUAAGUUGCAGGGUAUAGACCCGAAACCCGGUGAUCUAGCCAUGGGCAGGUUGAAGGUUGGGUAACACUAACUGGAGGACCGAACCGACUAAUGUUGAAAAAUUAGCGGAUGACCUGUGGCUGGGGGUGAAAGGCCAAUCAAACCGGGAGAUAGCUGGUUCUCCCCGAAAGCUAUUUAGGUAGCGCCUCGUGAAUUCAUCUCCGGGGGUAGAGCACUGUUUCGGCUAGGGGGCCAUCCCGGCUUACCAACCCGAUGCAAACUGCGAAUACCGGAGAAUGUUAUCACGGGAGACACACGGCGGGUGCUAACGUCCGUCGUGAAGAGGGAAACAACCCAGACCGCCAGCUAAGGUCCCAAAGUCAUGGUUAAGUGGGAAACGAUGUGGGAAGGCCCAGACAGCCAGGAUGUUGGCUUAGAAGCAGCCAUCAUUUAAAGAAAGCGUAAUAGCUCACUGGUCGAGUCGGCCUGCGCGGAAGAUGUAACGGGGCUAAACCAU